UGGGGAAUAUUGCACAAUGGGCGCAAGCCUGAUGCAGCCAUGCCGCGUGUAUGAAGAAGGCCUUCGGGUUGUAAAGUACUUUCAGCGGGGAGGAAGGGAGUAAAGUUAAUACCUUUGCUCAUUGACGUUACCCGCAGAAGAAGCACCGGCUAACUCCGUGCCAGCAGCCGCGGUAAUACGGAGGGUGCAAGCGUUAAUCGGAAUUACUGGGCGUAAAGCGCACGCAGGCGGUUUGUUAAGUCAGAUGUGAAAUCCCCGGGCUCAACCUGGGAACUGCAUCUGAUACUGGCAAGCUGGAGUCUCGUAGAGGGGGAUAGAAUUCCAGGUGUAGCGGUGAAAUGCGUAGGGAUCUGGAGGAAUACCGGUGGCGAAGGCGGCCCCCUGGACGAAGACUGACGCUCAGGUGCGAAAGCGUGGGGAGCAAACAGG
rnacentral:rRNA from 1 species